UACGUAGGGUGCGAGCGUUAAUCGGAAUUACUGGGCGUAAAGCGUGCGCAGGCGGUUCGUUGUGUCGGCGGUGAAAGCCCCGGGCUUAACCUGGGAAUGGCCGUCGAAACUGGCGAACUGGAGUGUGGCAGAGGGGGGUGGAAUUCCGCGUGUAGCAGUGAAAUGCGUAGAGAUCCGGAAGAACACCAGUGGCGAAGGCGACACGCUGGGCCGUACCUGACACUGAUGCGCGACAGCAUGGGGAGCAAACAGG
rnacentral:rRNA from 1 species